CACUCAAACAUACACAGAGGUCUACAGGGAUCACACAGGUUCCACAAGGUCCCUACUAAGACAAUUCUUUGUUCAGUGAGGUAUUGCUGCUCCUCUGGACCCCACUGUGAAGAGCUUGAUGCAAAGAGCAGCUCAUCCCACAAAGCUUGGAGAAGGCAACAGUAGAAAUGGUUAAGAGUAGAUCAUCAAAAUGGUACAAAAAUAAAUGGAUUCAUUGUGCCAUAAGAUGACAAGAAGAUAAAACUUGCUUGUUGUGGCUCAGAACAAGGAUCCAUCUGGCUCAGUAUCAGAAGAUGGAGGUUCAUGGGAUAGGAUAAUGGGGUGAUGUGGGAUAGCUGAAGAUGCCCAGAAGAGCAUAAAGAAAUACAGGAAACACACAGCGACACUUCCUCAGGGUACCUCCCACACCUCCUGCAGUUUCCUGUUAAAUCUGCACAUAGACUCAUGGAAUAGCUCAAGCUGGAAAGGGCCCAUAACCAUCAUCAAGUCCAACUCCCUGCUCUUCACAGGACUACCUAAAGCAAAUUCCUGUGGCUAGAGGGUCAACCAGAUGCUCCUUGAACUCUGACAGACAUUUGCAACAGUUAUUGGAAAAACAAAAGUUUUUCAAUAAUUUUUUGAAACCUUGAAAAAAUUUA